GGUGGACAGGCAGAUACCACUAGAAAUGUUCAGAUUGAGCUGAAAGGUGUUGGAAAGAAAAGAAACAGAGAUGAUCCAAAGGAGAGGUCUGACUACUGUAAUGUGAAUCCAGAUUCUGCUACAGGUCCAUAAAGAGAGGUGCAUCGUCGACAAAGCAAGAGAGGCAUGACAACAACAUGAAAAACAACAUUUGACUUAAAACACGUUUGGCAUCAUUUAUACAACUACUGCCACACACAAUAUUUUUUGCAGUUUUGUAGAAGAACAUAUGAAAGAUGUACUUGUUAUUUUACAAUAAUAUGAAUAAGAUAAACAUCAGCA